rnacentral:snRNA from 1 species
GUCACAGGCUCCGCAGCACAUAUACUAAAAUUGGAACGAUACAGAGAAGAUUAGCAUGGCCCCUGAGCAAGGAUGACAUGCAAAUUCGUGAAGCGUUCCAUAUUAAA